rnacentral:rRNA from 1 species
CCUACGGGUGGCAGCAGUGGGGAAUAUUGCACAAUGGGCGAAAGCCUGAUGCAGCAACGCCGCGUGAGCGAUGAAGGCCUUCGGGUCGUAAAGCUCUUUCCUCAAGGAAGAGAAUGACGGUACUUGAGUUGGAAGCCCCGGAUAACUACGUGCCAGCAGCCGCGGUAAUACGUAGGGGGCUAGCGUUAUCUGGAAUUACUGUGCGAAAGGGGUGCGUAGGUGGGUUCUUAAGUCAGAGGUGAAAGGCUACGGCUCAACCGUAGUAAGCCUUUGAAACUGGGAAACUUGAGUGCAGGAGAGGAGAGUGGAAUUCCUAGUGUAGCGGUGAAAUGCGUAGAUAUUAGGAGGAACACCAGUUGCGAAGGCGGAUCUCUGGACUGUAACUGACACUGAGGCACGAAAGCGUGGGGAGCAAACAGGAUUAGAUACCCCGGUAGUC